CCAAGGUGUCGGAGGGGAUUUCAUUGCACAAACUCUUGCCACAGUCUGUGGAGCUUAAGCUUGACCUUUUGGCUUGUAGGAGCCGGGGAGGAGAGCGCUUUGUGCGCGUUUCCGGGCUGAUGAGCAAAGGCACCUUUGUUGGUGCUUUAGCUACGGGUUACCCAAAUCGGCAACGUGGCAAGCUGGUGGAAGAAAUGAAGUCAUUACCAGGACAUGUGUGGCUGCCGCAUGCUCUGCCCUUGUUGCUGGACACUGGGGACACCCACGGUUGAUGAUACCGAAGGGUUAAACACACGGACAAGAGGAAAUUGGGAAAUGCAACCUCUGGUUUGUAGACAAAAUACCCGAGUUGUUUUUUGGUGGUCUGAUACGCUUGUCUCCUUGUCCCUGGAGCUGAACACUGAGUCUCUGGCACCAAGGGAUGCCAGGUUCGUCGUGGAACAGACCACUUUGUCCAGGGCAAGGAGAAGAAGAUUCUCCAGGAAGUCAGGCCUCUCCUCUGGGAAAAGCAAGAGACUUGUGGUGUACAAGUAGGGACUGGAAUAUUCCCCAUAUCCUGCUACAUCUCUGCUCAUCAGAAGACAAAAGAUACCUUCUGGUCAGAAAGGAAAAAAAGACAUCCUGAGGAAUAAUUCAGCACAGGAGGAGCUACAGCCCUCUAUCCCCUCACAGAACUUGCAGUUAUGUGUCAAGUUAAACCUUAGGAAAGGAGCAAUUUCAGUCUUCCUGGCCAGCCUGGAAGGAACCGUGCUGCCCUGCACAACGCAGUUACUGACAGCAGCUGCGUGGGUAGAAAAAUGCAUUUUUAGAGUUAGCGGAGCAGGGAGUUGUGCUAGGAUUACUGGGUUCUUCCCCAGGCACUGCCUUUGAUUUGCGGUGUGUGCAGACCCCUUAAUUUGUUUCUGUUUUCCCCAUCUGUGAAACUGAGAUAAGAUCACAAGGGAAUUGUAGAGUGUGAUUCAUUAAUGUUUAUUAGACAGAGGGAAAUCCUUAAAUGAAUGGCACUGUAUU